rnacentral:rRNA from 1 species
CCUACGGGAGGCAGCAGUGGGGAAUAUUGCACAAUGGGGGAAACCCUGAUGCAGCAACGCCGCGUGAGUGAGGAAGUAUUUCGGUAUGUAAAGCUCUAUCAGCAGGGAAGAAAAUGACGGUACCUGACCAAGAAGCCCCGGCUAACUACGUGCCAGCAGCCGCGGUAAUACGUAGGGGGCAAGCGUUAUCCGGAUUUACUGGGUGUAAAGGGAGCGUAGACGGCAAGGCAAGUCUGGAGUGAAAGCCCGUGGCUCAACCACGGGACUGCUUUGGAAACUGUGUUGCUGGAGUGCAGGAGGGGUAAGCGGAAUUCCUAGUGUAGCGGUGAAAUGCGUAGAUAUUAGGAGGAACACCGGUGGCGAAGGCGGCUUACUGGACUGUAACUGACGUUGAGGCUCGAAGGCGUGGGGAGCAAACAGGAUUAGAUACCCGUGUAGUC